rnacentral:rRNA from 1 species
AACUCCGGUGUCCCAGGAUGGGUCUGCGGCCUAUCAGGUUGUAGUGGGUGUAAAGGACCCACUAGCCGACGACGGGUACGGGCCAUGGGAGUGGUAGCCCGGAGAUGGAUUCUGAGACACGAAUCCAGGCCCUACGGGGCGCAGCAGGCGCGAAAACUUCGCAAUGCGCGAAAGCGCGACGAGGGGAUUCCAAGUGCAUGCACUCAGUGCAUGCUGUUUUCCAGUGUAAACAGCUUGUAGAGUAAGGGCUGGGUAAGACUGGUGCCAGCCGCCGCGGUAAUACCAGCGGCCCUAGUGGUGAUCGUUAUUAUUGGGCCUAAAGCGUCCGUAGCCGGUUCGGUAAAUCUCUGGGUAAAUCGAUGGGCUUAACCCAUCGAAUUCUGGGGAGACUGCUGGACUUGGGACCGGGAGAGGUCGGAGGUACUCCAGGGGUAGGGGUGAAAUCCUGUAAUCCUUGGGGGACCACCGGUGGCGAAGGCGUCCGACCAGAACGGGUCCGACGGUAAGGGACGAAGCCCUGGGGCGCAAACCGGAUUAGAUACCCGGGUAGUCCAGGGUGUAAACGCUGCGCGCUUGGUGUUGGGGGUCUCAUGUGGGCACCCAGUGCCGGAGAGAAGUUGUUAAGCGCGCCGCCUGGGGAGUACGGUCGCAAGACUGAAACUUAAAGGAAUUGGCGGG